rnacentral:lncRNA from 1 species
GGAGUGCUGAUCUUUGAACUUGACAAGAUAAUUGAUGAAUGAAAGUAUGCAAGAAUGCUUCUUCUUUUCGGAAUCAUCCUGUAAAUAGAAAAAAUACACAACGGAUAUCAUAAUUUAAUCAGCAAUAACGAAUCUCAGAGAGAACUUUAUUUUAAGAAAGAAACCAAAACCAAUACACAUCCAAAAAAACAUAACUCAACUCAAGCCUACUAAUACAAUAAAAGUGCAGCCAGAUAAUAACAGCAGAAACAGAUCCCAACCCCGCAAAAAAUCAGUCCCCUGUCACUGCCAAACACCAACCACCAGCUCCAAACAGAUAAACUAGCACCAUAUCUGCCAAGAAAAAAAAAACAUGGCACAACAGACCACUAAACACCAAAACCGUUGCAUCCUGAAGCAGGAAAAAUAGCAACACAAAUUCAGAUUAAGUGAUUGACUACUACUGUG